GACGAACGCUGGCGGCGUGCUUAACACAUGCAAGUCGAACGAAGUGGCGAACGGGUGAGUAAUACGUGGGUAACCUGCCCUCCUUUUUGGGAUAAGCCUUGGAAACGGGGUCUAAUACCGAAUAAAGGGGGAUGGGCUCGCGGCCUAUCAGCUUGGUGGUGGGGUGAUGGCCUACCAAGGCGUUGACGGGUAGCCGGACUGAGAGGUUGAUCGGCCGCAGUUGGACUGGGAGACGGCCCAGGCUCAUACGGGAGGUAGCAGGGGGGAAUGUUAGGCAAUGGGCGCGAGCCUGACACAGCAACGCCGGGUGAAAGAAGCCGGUCGUCGGAGUGUAAACUUCUUUGGAAAGGGACGGUACCUGUAGAAGAAGCCACGGCUAACUACGUGCCAGCAGCCGCGGUAAUUC
rnacentral:rRNA from 1 species